rnacentral:lncRNA from 1 species
AUUAAUGACCCGGAGCCACAUGACGGAGCAUGACACAGCACUUUUGGGCACAAGGCAGGGCCCAGAGGGGUGCGUGGGGGCCGCAGCCCAGCCCCCAAGCCCCGCCAGCGGCUUUACUGGGGUGUAACAAACACACGAUAAACUGCGCAUAUUCCAGUGUUCAUGUGGAUGAGUUUGGACAUAUGCACACACUUCCGAAACCACCAGCACAAUCAAGACAGCAGACAUAUCCAUCGCCCCCAAGGGUGUCCUUGUGUCUUUUUGUCAUUCAUCCCUCCCGGCCGCCCCAUCCACACUCCCAUCGCCUGCCGACUGUGGCUGAUCUGCUUUCUGCGGCUGUGGAUUAGUUUGCGUUCUCUACAAUUUUCUGAAGCACCAGUUAGCCCAGAUGCUUCUCAUCUUUGGAGUUGAGCUGCAGGCUGGAGACCUGGAAGGCCCUCGCAGCGCCUGCUCCCAUCCUCUCACCUCACGAAAGCGCAGGAAUGUGGGUUUGGAGCCAAUGAAAAGUACUGGAAUCUGGCUCUGCUCUGUGACCCUGGACAAGUCACUGCCCCUCUCUGGGCUUCAGUUUCCUCCUUGCUCCAUGAGGGCAGGGGAUUUUGUCUGUUUCAUUCACAAUGUGUUCCCAGAGCUCAGCACAGUGUCAGGCACACACUAGGUAACAGCACCUCGACUUCCUACUGAAGAACCCCCUCUUCCCUUUUCUCAGUCCAUGAGGCUGGGGGUGCCCAGAGGCCUCUGUCUCCAGGGGUGGACAUGUGACCGGGUCUUGCUCUAGUGAUUGGUCCAGGGAUGGGCACAUGACUGAGCCUGCCCAAUGAAACUUGAUCUUGGGACUUCAGGGUUGGCCAUGAUUUGUGAAGGAGAUGCCAUUUUCCAUUGGAUGGACAGUGAGCAAGUGAACGCUUAGAGAAGAAGAGGACAAAACAAGGGAAAAGCCUGCCUGACAGGAAGCAGCACAGAGCUGGACAGGCUUUGAACUCCUGGAUCCCACUGUACCUGAAAUUAGGCACCUUCAACUUUCUAGUUAUGUGAGCCACUGUCUUUCCCAUUUUUGGCUGAAAACAGUUGGGACUGGCUUUCUGUCCCUUGCAUACAGAAGGUGCUGACUGACCCCUGCCCCAUGGAAGAAGAUACUCCAGGCAGAGGAAAUAGUGUGUAUAGACACCCCUAAGCGAAUGCCAAGCGGGGCACUCAUGUACCAAGAAGAAGGAGGAGGAGGCACCUGGGAGCUGAGCUUAAGAGUUAGUCGGGUGGUCAAGGUGGGAGAAGGGGGUAUCUUUAGCAGAGGGAACAACCAUUGCAAAAGCUUGGAGGGGUGACUAGUUAGUGAAGAUCAACUGUGUGCUGAGCUCGUGUUGGGUGGCAAGGGACACAGACGAAAAGGGCACGGUGGAACCCAGCUACUUCUCACCUGCUCCAGCGCAGUGCAGGCUUGUCUGCUUUUGGAGCCGAGCCUGGACACCUCCGUGUCCUUCCCCCGGCAGAGUGCUGCCAGCACGCUGUCUCAGACUCUCCAGCAUCUCCUGGUUGAUGUGCAUCAUGGGGACCACACAAGAUUAUUUUAUAGGCUGCACAGGCAAAGCAUAAAAUCACCUCGGGUCACAUAGCGAGAGUUAUUCUCUCUGCAAAUUCUUUACAGUCUUUCCUUUAUAUCCAGAAGAGUCUCUGUGUGGUGCUAACUUGCCUCGAAGACCAAAUAAUUGCUAGUCUCCCUUUGUGAAAAGGAGAGCAGGUGUCAGGCUCAUUCAUGUCUCAGGCACACAAUUGUAUCUAGCUAGACUUUUCAAAAUGUCCUAUAGAGCUGCAGCACAUAUGAAUGAGGUGUCCAGCUGGUCCCAAACCUGUAAUCGGCACCCCAGUGAGCAGACUGGACAUCCCCACCCCCACAGCUGCCCUUUCUCCCCUCCACUCAUGUUCCCUCUAGGGCCACCACGAUCCCGACUUGUAUCACCACAGAUGAGUUUCACAUGUUUUUGAAUUUUACAUCUUAUCUGUUUUCUGUUCCUAUACAAGUUUGCCUUUUUUGAAUUCCAUAUAAGUGGGAUUCUACAAUGUGUUAUCUCAAUUUGAGUCUGUUUUUUUUUUCCUGCUCAGCAUGAUGUUUUUGAGAUGCAUAUAUGCGGUUUUGUGUAUCUGUAGAUGGUUCUUUUUUAUUGCAGAAUAAUGUUCCAGGGUAUGGAUGUACCAAAGCUUGUUCAUCCAUUCACCAGCUGAGGGAUAUUUGGACUGUUUCCAGUUUUCAGCCAUUAUAAAUAAAGCCACUAGAAACAUUUGCAAAC